GCCUUCCCUACAUAUCGCUCAGGCAUGGUCAACCUGCGGCUUUCCAGCUGUUGUAAAACUACAACUCCCACCAUGCCCUGCUGUAGGCUGAUAGCUGUAGGCAGUCUGGACAUGCUGGAAGUUGUAAUUUUGCAACAGCUGGAGAGCC